rnacentral:rRNA from 1 species
UUCGUAGGGUGCGAGCGUUGUCCGGAAUUACUGGGCGUAAAGAGCUCGUAGGUGGUUUGUCGCGUUGUUCGUGAAAACUCACAGCUCAACUGUGGGCGUGCGGGCGAUACGGGCAGACUAGAGUACUGCAGGGGAGACUGGAAUUCCUGGUGUAGCGGUGGAAUGCGCAGAUAUCAGGAGGAACACCGGUGGCGAAGGCGGGUCUCUGGGCAGUAACUGACGCUGAGGAGCGAAAGCGUGGGGAGCGAACAGG